rnacentral:rRNA from 1 species
AUUGAACGCUGGCGGAAUGCUUUACACAUGCAAGUCGAACGGCAGCACGGGGGCAGCCCUGGUGGCGCGUGGCGAACGGGUGAGUAAUACAUCGGAACGUGCCCGGUCGUGGGGGAUAACGUAGCGAAAGUUACGCUAAUACCGCAUACGAUCUGAGGAUGAAAGCGGGGGACCUUCGGGCCUCUCGCGAUCGGAGCGGCCGAUGUCAGAUUAGGUAGUUGGUGGGGUAAAGGCCUACCAAGCCGACGAUCUGUAGCUGGUCUGAGAGGACGACCAGCCACACUGGGACUGAGACACGGCCCAGACUCCUACGGGAGGCAGCAGUGGGGAAUUUUGGACAAUGGGCGCAAGCCUGAUCCAGCCAUUCCGCGUGCAGGACGAAGGCCUUCGGGUUGUAAACUGCUUUUGUACGGAACGAAAAGGCUCUGGCUAAUACCUGGGGCUCAUGACGGUACCGUAAGAAUAAGCACCGGCUAACUACGUG